GGCGGACGUCGUUGGGCCGCAGCGCACCGCGGCUCAUCCGCGCCCCGAGGGAGCCGCCCCGCCAUUACCUGGGAGGAGCGGGGAAACUCCAUCAGAGCCUGAACCUCCAGAAUUUGUGACGGAGCAGCAACACAGAAAGAUGUAGUCAACAUCUUUCAUACAAGAUUUCCUAUCAUUUAAUGGAGAGGAGGAGAGAGAAGAGAGAGGAAACACACUUGGCUGCAUUCCUCCACGGGUCUUUUCUUCUGUGUCAGUUCUGCAGCACGUGACUCCUGCAACACUUAGGUUUGCAUCAGAUCUGCCAGAGCUGACUAAAGGUUUCUUAGCAGUAAUUCCUUGCUGGUUUUUAUCCCAACAACACUCAAUUGCAGGAAUGUCUUCUGAAAAGGUCCCGUCUGCAUUUGUGAUUUUUUGGAAAUAUAUAAAUAAUACGUA